ACAAGACACCACAGGACUCUUCAGGGACUUACUGUAUGGAUGUACACUCAGCAACAUUAGUGGGAACACUGAAUAAUGUCUUGGUAGAUGAGAAUUCUGUUGAUAUUUUCUACUGGACUACAGACCUGUAGAUUUGUUUCUAUUCGUAUUGACUGUACAUGUGUUUAUUCCAGGUGUAACUCUGUUUCUAUUGGUAUUGACUGUACAUGUGUUUAUUCCAGGUGGAACUCUGUGUUUCUAUUGGUAUUGACUGUACAUGUGUUUAUUCCAGGUGUAACUCUGUUUCUAUUGGUAUUGACUGUACAUGUGUUUAUUCCAGGUGUAACUCUGUUUCUAUUGGUAUUGACUGUACAUGUGUUUAUUCCAGGUGUAACUCUGUGUUUCUAUUGGUAUUGACUGUACAUGUGUUUAUUCCAGGUGGAACUCUGUGUUUCUAUUGGUAUUGACUGUACAUGUGUUUAUUCCAGGUGUAACUCUGUGUUUCUAUUGGUAUUGACUGUACAUGUGUUUAUUCCAGGUGUAACUCUGUGUUUCUAUUGGUAUUGACUGUACAUGUGUUUAUUCCAGGUGGAACUCUGUGUUUCUAUUGGUAUUGACUGUACAUGUGUUUAUUCCAGGUGGAACUCUGUGUUUCUAUUGGUAUUGACUGUACAUGUGUUUAUUCCAGGUGUAACUCUGUGUUUCUAUUGGUAUUGACUGUACAUGUGUUUAUUCCAGGUGGAACUCUGUUUUGUGUCGCACUGCUUUGCUUUAUCUUGGCCAGGUCGCAGUUGUAAUUAAGAACCUGUUCUCAACUGGUCUACCUGGUUAAAUAAAGGUGACAUAAAUAGUGGUACAGAC